GUGCGAGCGUUAAUCGGAAUUACUGGGCGUAAAGCGCGCGUAGGCGGUCUGAUAAGCCGGUUGUGAAAGCCCCGGGCUCAACCUGGGAACGGCAUCCGGAACUGUCAGGCUAGAGUGCAGGAGAGGAAGGUAGAAUUCCCGGUGUAGCGGUGAAAUGCGUAGAGAUCGGGAGGAAUACCAGUGGCGAAGGCGGCCUUCUGGACUGACACUGACGCUGAGGUGCGAAAGCGUGGGUAGCAAACAGGAUUAGAUACCCUGGUAGUCCACGCCGUAAACGAUGUCGACUAGCCGUUGGGCUCCUUGAGAGCUUUGUGGCGCAGUUAACGCGAUAAGUCGACCGCCUGGGGAGUACGGCCGCAAGGUUAAAACUCAAAUGAAUUGACGGGGGCCCGCACAAGCGGUGGAGCAUGUGGUUUAAUUCGAUGCAACGCGAAGAACCUUACCUACCCUUGACAUCGUGCGAACUUUCCAGAGAUGGAUUGGUGCCUUCGGGAACGCACAGACAGGUGCUGCAUGGCUGUCGUCAGCUCGUGUUGUGAAAUGUUGGGUUAAGUCCCGUAACGAGCGCAACCCUUGUCCUUAUUUGCCAGCGAGUCAUGUCGGGAACUCUAAGGAGACUGCCGGUGACAAACCGGAGGAAGGUGGGGACGACGUCAAGUCAUCAUGGCCCUUACGGGUAGGGCUACACACGUGCUACAAUGGCCGGUACAAAGGGUUGCGAAGCCGCGAGGUGGAGCUAAUCCCGAAAAGCUGGUCUCAGUCCGGAUCGGAGUCUGCAACUCGACUCCGUGAAGUCGGAAUCGCUAGUAAUCGUGAAUCAGAAUGUCACGGUGAAUACGUUCCCGGGCCUUGUACACACCGCCCGUCACACCAUGGGAGUGGACUGCACCAGAAGUGGUUAGCCUAACUUCGGAGGGCGAUCACCACGGUGUGGUUCAUGACUGGGGUGAAGUCGUAACAAGGUAACC
rnacentral:rRNA from 1 species